UAUUCUGCCCCACGGGGAAGGAUGAGAAGCUUCGACUAAGGUUCGACUCGAGCGAAGCGAGAGAACGUUGCCGCAGGCAACGGCCCGAAGGGCGAGGCGCUUUA
rnacentral:sRNA from 1 species